GAACCUGGGCUGCCUGGGAUAAUUCCAAGUGCUGGGCUGGGGCUGUGAUAUCAGAAUAGAGUUAUGACAUCAAUGGAAGGCAGGUGAGCCUAGGGGAGAAGCAAGAACAGAGGAGCCCCUGAGGCUCUAGGUUAGCCCCCCAGAAGGGAAGACCCAAGAGGGAGGUGGCCAACUCUGUAUCAGCUUCUUACAGACCUGAACAUCGGAAAAUGACUCACAGACGGGGUUUCACCAUGUUGGCCAUGCUGAUCUCGAACUCCUGACCGGCCUAAAUACACAAUUCUUAACAACCUAUAUAAGCAAGCACUACUUUUAAGGUAGCGCAUUGCUCCUUUUGCUUUCUGAGGACACCCUACUCUGUAAUUGAGUAGUCUGUAAUAAGUGAUCUUAACUUCACUCUGUGACUCGCCUUGAAUUCUUUCCUGCGACAGAUUCAAGAACCCACUCUGGGGAUCUGGGACCAGACCCCCUUUUCUGGUGACAACAGGUGGAAAGGAACUGCAACACCACAGUCUUCUUCUGCAAGGACACUGCUGGUGCUGCCAAGGGUGUCACGGCACACUGGCCCCACAACAGAUCCUUGCUGGGCACCAACUCCAGUAACAAACUCAGGGCCUGGCCCUGAGGUCACCAUGGAAACAAGACAUAUAGGCUCUCUCUGCCCUCAAGGAACUUAGGUUCUAUCGAGGAGAUGAACAAUAAAAAAUUUAAAAGGU